rnacentral:rRNA from 1 species
GCAGCAGGCACGCAAAUUACCCACUCCCGGCACGGGGAGGUAGUGACAAAAAAUAACGAUACGGGACUCUAUUGAGGCCCCGUAAUCGGAAUGAGUACACUUUAAAUCCUUUAACAAGGAUCCAUUGGAGGGCAAGUCUGGUGCCAGCAGCCGCGGUAAUUCCAGCUCCAAUAGCGUAUAUUAAAGUUGUUGCGGUUAAAAAGCUCGUAGUUGGUUCUGCGUGCCGCGCUGUCGGUUCGCCGCCUGUCGGUGUAACUGGCAUGUCGCGGCAUGUCCUGUCGGUGGUGAACGCAAUGCACCGGUACUUGCUAAGGCAAUAGCCGAAGUAUUGUGUCGUGUGCGAUUACGUUUGCCGAUCUCUCCUACUCCGGUGCUCUUAAACGAGUGUCGAGGUAGGCCGACACGUUCACUUUGAACAAAUUAGAGUGCUUAAAGCAGGCUGAAAUAUCUGCCUGAAUAGUGGUGCAUGGAAUGAUAAAAUAGGACCUCGGUUCUAUUUUGUUGGUUUUAGGAAUAUGAGGUAAUGAUCAAUGUGGACUGGCGGGGGCAUUCGUAUUGCGACGUUAGAGGUGAAAUUCUUGGAUCGUCGCAAGACGCACUAGAGCGAAAGCAUUUGCCAAGUAUGUCUUAAUUGAUCAAGAACGAAAGUUAGAGGUUCGAAGGCGAUCAGAUACCGCCCUAGUUCUAACCAUAAACGAUGCCAGCCAGCGAUCCGCCGAUGUUCCUUUAAUGACUCGGCGGGGAGCUUCUACUCGGGAAACCAAAGCUUUUGGGUUCCGGGGGAAGUAUGGUUGCAAAGCUGAAACUUAAAGGAAUUGACGGAAGGGCACCACCAGGAGUGGAGCCUGCGGCUUAAUUUGACUCAACACGGGAAACCUCACCAGGCCAGGACAUUGGAAGGAUUGACAGAUUGAUAGCUCUUUCUUGAUUCAGUGGGUAGUGGUGCAUGGCCGUUC